rnacentral:rRNA from 1 species
GAUUAACGCUAGCGGCAGGCAUAAUACAUGCAAGUUGAACGGGAUUAGUUGUAGCAAUAUGACUAUGAGAGUAGCGCACGGGUGCGUAACGCGUAUGCAACCUGCCUCCAACUGGGGAAUAGCCCCUCGAAAGAGGGAUUAAUACCGCAUAAAAUAGUGAAUAGGCAUCUAUUUACUAUUAAAACUACGGUGGUUGGAGAUGGGCAUGCGUGACAUUAGCUAGUUGGUAGGGUAAUGGCCUACCAAGGCUACGAUGUCUAGGGGGUCUGAGAGGAUGUCCCCCCACACUGGUACUGAGAUACGGACCAGACUCCUACGGGAGGCAGCAGUAGGGAAUAUUGGUCAAUGGAGGCAACUCUGAACCAGCCAUGCCGCGUGCAGGAUGACGGCCCUAUGGGUUGUAAACUGCUUUUGUACGGGAAGAAACCUCAUUACGUGUAAUGAGUUGACGGUACCGUGAGAAUAAGGAUCGGCUAACUUCGUGCCAGCAGCCGCCGUAA